UGUGCGCGUAUGUUUGCCAUAUACAAGGCUG
rnacentral:piRNA from 1 species